CUUCUGUGGUGGUUUUACACCUGCAAAGCCCCCAGAUUCAGUUUUUCUCCAGGGUGAGUGUGUGGACUGUCAUUUCUUGCCUUUUUUGCCUCAGGACCCCAUCAGUAAAAUGGAUGUCACUGUAUCCCAUUUCAAAAUGCUCUGCACUAGCUGUUGUAGGAGUUGUUGGUAGCUGCCAAGAGUUGUUCCAGGCAGCUCUUAUAUCAGAUUAAUUUUAUUUUCAGAUGAUAAAAGGAAACAUCUUUUUAUUUCUCAGGAUACACUUUAAUUUCUUGUUGUUUUAUUCCACCCCCUGCCAUGCCCCAUAUUUGAGCUGUCCCAGUGAACAAUAUCAUCAGAGGAUUUAAAUACUUGUACAAGGCAAUGUGAACAGCAGAAGGAAAGUGAGAUGACUUUACUAUUGCUGGGAAAAAGCAGGGUCCCGCUGAAGAUAAUGGGUCCCUUUGUUUGCAAGACAGAGAGAGAGCAAGACCCCAAGGAGAAAACAAAGAUCAGCCUAUUUCUUUAAUGCAUUUUCUUGAUGCAUUUCCAAGUUGCACGAGAAAGCAAGGAAGCUUGAGAAAAAUGAGGAAGCCUGAGAAAAAUGUUAUUUAAAUGCAUCUAGGAAUUUUUGUUUGUCAAAACUCUGUUCACUCUGUGAAUUUGACAACCAUUUCAGUAAAGUUUUUGUAAAACUGGAA